rnacentral:lncRNA from 1 species
CAAGGUUUAACUUUAAACACACAUAUUGAACACAAAAUCCAGAACUUGUAUAUUAACUAAAUUUGGAAUCAAAUACAAAAGAUAAAGAUUUGGAAGGAAUACAACCCUUGUCACAUGAGCUUUCUUCCUUGCCUUCUUCAUCCUCCAUUUGCAUCCUAAUCUAGAUAAUAAACAAGAAUGGAAAAGCUACACUACUCUAUACUAAGCUAAACUAACACUAGGGAGAUGAAAGAGCUACAUUUCUGCAACUUCAAGCUUCUCCCGUAUCUCACUCUCUAUUUUUCUGCUAUGAACUCCCCAAUCCCUAUUUUUGCAAUGCAUUUGGCUAUUUAAUGAUGAAAGGUGGUCAAGAAAUGAGGAUUACAUCUCCCUUUUACAGCUGGGAAUGUUUCUCACAUGUCUAGCAUCCAAUGUGAGUUGGUGGAGGUGAAAUUGAGUUUUACGCGUACAGAGCAGCCUUUUCUGACCAGCGAUCCGAGCUGCUACAGUACCUCGGAUCCGUAUGGAUCCGAGCUCGGAUCCACUAACCCAGAAACAACCAAGGGUUCGGAUGAAUAGUGGAUCCGAGUGUGGAUCACUUGCUCUGUUUUUGGUCCAACUUCAACCAAUCUUUUCUUGAUGUUAGAGGCUGAACCAGCUCAUGUCUAAAACACGAAAGUUGUAGCCUUUUGAGUUAUCUUUCUAAUGCAUCAAGAAUCACCUCAUUUGGAUCUGUGUAGGCUGAGAUAUGACUGAAAUACCCUUGCCUGCUCAUUGCCCUGUUCCAGCUUCGACCAGUAGAAAUUUGCUAUUGUAAUUCGGCAUUUUGACCUGGAAAACCUUCAAACUGGAUUUAUAUGUCUUCACCAAAGUUGUAGAUCUAUCUCUUAUCUUCAAAUGGGUUCAAGAAUCAUCCCAAUCCGAUCAUUGUAACUCAAGUUAUAGCCGAAAUACGAAAAUAUGUCAAAACUGUCAAAAUACACAAAAUUCAAGUAAAAAGUGAUAAAAACCUCAUUUAAUCACUUAAAAACAUUUAUUCACCAAUUAUAGCCAAAAUGAUUCAUAUUCUUCCAAUAAUAUAACCAAAGUGACUAAAAAUAAUAUAAAAUGUCAUACAAUUAUUACGUAAAUUAGUCACUUAUCAAACUCCCCCACACUUAAAUCAUUGCUUGUCCUCAAGCAAUUCACACAUAAUCAAAUGCAAUGAUUCAAGAGGUGAAACAAUAUAUGCACUUUGUCCAAUUUAAUUCCUCAAGACUUGGAAAAUAAUCAUUAUACAAUUAUUCAAUUUACACUAAAUACUUAUAAUAUCAAGUAAAGGAAAGAUAAUUAUACCCUAAAUUCAACAAGUUAAACUUAAUCUCUUACCCUAACUUAAUUUUACAAAUAAGCAAAUCACAUAGUCAAUUUAUAGCUUUCCUCCUCCUAUAAUCAUCUUUUUCUCAAAAUUCUAUAACUAAGAGGGAUUUAUUCACACAAAUUUUACUUAAAUAGUGAGAAUGCCUUUUUACGCGAAAAUCGACACUUUUAGGUGAAGAUCCCCAGUUACUCAACAUUUCACUUAUUCAAGUUGCUAUGCAUACUCUUAAUUCAAGUACCUUUUUACGCGAAUGUCGACAUUUGUUGAUGCCAACCCCCGGUUACUCGGUACAUGAAUCAUUGGAGUAGAACAAUUUUUAUUUACUUUCUCUUUUUUUUUUACUUUUUUUUUUCUUUUUCAGAAAUAAAGGACAAUAAAUAGAUAACCCCUCUUAGAAAAUAUAUAAGAAUAAUCAAAGGAGGAAUAUAACCUUUAUCGACUAUAUCAAUCACUUACUUGCAAAAUUAAGUAAAGAGAAGAAAUCUCAUUAAACAUGUAAAAUUAUAGGCAUAAUUUUCCUCACUUUACCAAAUAUACUUUCUAAAAUGUAAAAAUUCUAAUUGCAUAAUACUAUUUCCAAGUUAAAUGAGGACUAAACCUUCCAAAAUACAUAUAAAGUUUCAACAAUUGGAAGAAUAAAACACUUAAGGUUGGAACAAUUAGCCCUUUUUGAAUGAAAAUGCAAAAAUUUGAAGAACUUUUGGGCCAUAGUGACAUAUUGGACAAGAUGUUAGACAAAUUUUGACGGAGUUUCCCCAUAUAAAUGGAAGAAAACUCCCUGCCAACAAACCCAAUUUCAGGCAAAUUAUCCACAUGGCAAAUAAUUCAAACAUAACUCCAAUAUUUCUAAGCAUUUAUAUCCACAAAAUAUCAUCACAUGGCAAGUAAAUGCAAGUUUAAUAUUUUCCUCCCCCACACUUAAACUUCACAUUGUCCUCAAUGUGAGAAAGGAAAAAUAACGAAAAUAAGAGAAAGUAAUACUCCCCUAAUGAACUUGCGCGAUCCGAAUCCAUGGCAAUGUGAUGAAUUUCCAACUUUACUUGAAAGAAUGGAGACUUCAAUUAAUGCACCUUGAAAAAAAAAAAAAUACAAUUCUUAAGAAUAAAAGCUUGCAACCAACAAGAAGAAAAGUGGAGUUGAAGGAGGAAAAAGAGGGAAGAAUGAGGAAAAGUGGUCCGAGGCUUCGUUUGGAAAGGAUCCGAGGUCGUUUUUGAAAGGAUCCGAGAUCGGAUCAUGAUAAGUGAGCUCGGAUCAAGAAGCUCAAAUUUUUUCUGAUUGCAGAAGUGGAUCCGAGGCCUCGGAUCCAUAUGGAUCCGAGCUCGGAUCAAGAAGCUCGAAGUUUUUCUCUGAUUGCAGAAGUGGAUCCGAGGCCUUGGAUCCAUAUGGAUCCGAGGCCUUGGAUCCAUUGAAUCUGCACUUAUUGCAGAAUUUUUGCAAUUUUCAGUUUGACCUCAAUUCUUCAAAAUACACCCUAGAUCAUUUCUAUGUCAAAAUAAACCAUUCACACACAUGUAAAAUGAUCUAAACAUGCAUUCUAAACCUCUUUAAUGCAUCAAAAACCAUAAUUACUGAAUUUGAGGUAUUGAGAUCUUUGAUCAAACUUCGCCUUUUUCACCUCAUUUGGUCACUUUUGCAUCUUUUUCCAAAACCUACAAAUGAAAAAUAACAAAAUAACUCAAACUUAUACUUUAAACAUAAAAUCACUCCAAAGUAACACCAACUUAAACAAGCAUUGGGUUGCCUCCCAAUAAGCGCUUCUUUAAAGUCAAUAGCUUGACUAUAUCACCUCAUUUUUCAAGGAGGCUUAGUUAACGAAUAAUCCACCAUUUUAGGCCUUGGUGGAUCAUUGUAAGGUGACUUAAUAGAAAAAGCCACAUGAACUAAUGAUGUGAGAAAUGGAAGUGACUUACCUAUUCCAAGUGUUUCAUAGAUAUUACCUUGAAUAUGCACCACUUGAGAAUUUACCAAAGGAAAUGUCAUGAGAGUAUCUUGGGCAGCAAUACCCUUAGAACCUAUACUUUCAAUGCACUCCUCAAGAGGGGUGAAAAAUGAGUCAUUAAAACUCACCUCUUGAGGCUCAAAGUUAGUUUCAAAGGUAUUAUCAUGUGAAAUGGAUAUUUGCUCAUUGAAAUAUAAUUGAGAUUCAUCAUUUUCAUCCAAAUGCAAUCCAUUUUCACAUACAACAUUUCCACGAUUCAUGCUAGGAUCAUUUUGCAAAUUAUUAGAAGAAAUAACUUCACACAAUACAUUCAAUUGCUCAUGUAUUCUACCAAAGUGAGAAGCUAAUUCAUCUAUUCUUUCCUCAAUCCUAUCAAAACGGUCGGAAGUUGCAUUUGCUAGCUUUUCUAAAGCUAACUCCCAAGAUGGCUUAGAAUCAUUAGCUACUCUUUCUAUUGCCAACUCCCAAGAUGGUUUUGAUUCAUAUUGGACACUUCAGGUUGGUGAUCAUAAAAAUAUGAAUUAUCACUAUAAGUACAUUGAUUAUUCCAACCAUAAGCAGGAGAAUUGCUCCAAUUAGCACUAUAUUGAUCAAAACAAGGAUUGUAAUGCUCUAAUUCAUCAUAAUAAUCCACAUUUUGUGCUUGCAUACAUGUAUUAAUAGCAUGAUAACCUCCACACAAGUCACAAAUCACAUGAUAAGAAUUGAAAGCAUUAACAUUCCUCCCUUGCUCAAUUUCAUGCAUCAUGGUGUCCAUUUGAACUUGUAACUUAAUUACAUCAAAUUUUGCCUUUAAGCACCUUAAACCAUCUUCAAAAGAUAUACAUUCAGUAAAUUCUUGGUUACCUCUAUUGAAGGAGCUUUGCACUUGGUAACCAUCCAUUUCCAAUCUUCCACUUCUCAAGCAUUGUCCUCCAAAUUGACCUACCCUUCUCAUCACCUAAAAUUGCUUUUAAACAACUUAAGAGCAAAAUUAGUAAGAAGAAUAGGUGAUAAAACACAUACACAUAAAAAAUACUAAAAUGACAGAAAAUAACAUUCACACAAUAACUAAUAAAAUGUCUAAACUAAUAAAGUUAUUCUUCACACCGAUAUUGCCAAAUCUUCCCCGGCAACGGCGCCAAAAACUUGACGUGCGCGGAGUAUACAUAUACAAUUAAGCUCAUCCUAAUCAAGUUUUACAUUUAUAAACUCCUAAAUACCCCACACGCGAUUUAUCGCAAGUAUACGAAUCGUGAGCGAGUAUAGGGUAUUAAGGGUCGAUCCCACAAGGAAGAUUGCAAUUACCGGUACUACUAAAGCUUCUCUAUUAUUUAGACUAUCAAUGAAUUAUAACAAAUUUUACCUACUGAAAUUAUACAAAAUAGCAAAUAAAAGCUCCUUGGGUUGUGGUAUCCCUAACUACUCAUGCAAGUGCUAUAUUUGGAUCAUUAAUUACUACAUCUAGGCUAGUUAUAGUGUAAUUUCCUUAAACAUGUGAAACCUACUUUCGUAGUGAAUCAACUAUACUCAUAACUAAUCCAUACCUAUUUUCAUGGUUAUGAAAUUAGCUACAAGUUCAUUUCUUCAAUGAAAUUACAUGAAAUGAAUCACUAAAAACCACAUAAGUGCACCUCUACUUUCGUGAGUGUACUCCCUAUGUUUAGCACCUCUUGAACUAGUGUUAAAUCUCAAUUUUCAUUGCAGAAACAACACCUUAGAUAAUCACAAUCAAUGGUACCAGAUUAAUCAUGAUUUAAAGAGCCAAAGUGCUAAAUAACUUGCUCAAAUCAUAGCAAUCAAAUAACCAAAUAAUAAAUACUAACAAUUAUAGAAAGUUCAACCAAACCCAAGGUAUAAACUUUAGAAACACAUAAUUGAACACAAAAUCCAGAACUUGUAUAUUAACUAAAUUUGGAAUCAAAUACAAAAGAUAAAGAGUUUGGAAGGAAUACAACCCUUGUCACAUGAGCUUUCUUCCUUGCCUUCUUCAUCCUCCAUCUUCAUCCUAAUCUAGAUAAUAAACAAGAAUGGAAAGCUACACUACUCUAUACUAAGCUAAACUAACACUAGGGAGAUGAAAGAGCUACAUUUCUGCAACUUCAAGCUUCUCCCGUAUGUCUCUCUAUUUUUCUGCUAUGAACUCCCCAUCUCCUUUUUUGCAAUGAAUUUGGCUAUUUAAUGAUGAAAGGUGGUCAAGAAAUGAGGAUUACAUCUCCCUUUUACAGCUGGGAAUGUUUCUCACAUGUCUAGCAUCCAAUGUGAGUUGGUGGAGGUGAAAUUGAGUUUUACGCGUACAGAGCAGCCUUUUCUGACCAGUGAUCCGAGCUGCUACAGUACCUCGGAUCCGUAUGGAUCCGAGCUCGGAUCCACUAACCCAGAAACAACCAAGG